rnacentral:tRNA from 1 species
GGAGGAUUGGCCGAGAGGUAAGGCACCGGCUUGCGCUGUGUUCGAUCAGAAGCGAGUCGUGGUCGGGGUUGCCCCGCGCGCGUUCGAUCCGCGCAUCCUCCG